UAUUAGAAUUUAUUCUUUAUUUUKGUUUUAACGUGAUUUUGUUUUUUUUUUCUUAAUGAAUUUUGGGUAGAAUUAUAAUUUAAAUUUUGUUUUUAGUUGCGUUUUUAAGUUUUGUUGAUCGAAUUAGAUUAGUACCUAAUUAGACGAAGGUUAUUUUUUCAGGAGUAAAGUAGGGUUUAAACUGAAAUAAUAUUGGCAGAUUUUCUAAAUUAUCUUUGGAGGUUGAGUGGUAAUUGAGAACCCCCAUUAACUGCUCUUUUUAUUGGCUCAUGUAUGAUCGUUUAUUUUAUGCUUAAGGUUUUGAAUUAUAUUUUUUAUGAUUUAAAAAUAGAUAUAUAUUUGGUGUAUGAAUUGAGUUUACUUGACCUACAAUUUUUUAUAUAUUGGAUUUUUGUUUAGUAAGAUUUGAAAUUGUAAAAGACAGUAAAAAAAUCUUAAUGUUUUUUUGAAGAGUAUUUAGAAGUGGUACAAAUCAUCCAUCAAUUGCCCACA
rnacentral:rRNA from 1 species